GCUGCAUAAAAACAUGAGUGUUUCAAAAAGUAUCUAUUUGUUAUAUAGACUUUUUAUUCAAGAAUAUCUCUAUAAAGAAGUACACACUGAGGCACUUAUACUUAUUCUUGGCAAUUUCAUUUCUUGAGACUAGUCUAGUUAUUGUGGGUUGAAUGAGCUAUUGUUUUCUUGUAUUAUUUGGAUCAAGCCUUUUCAUCAAAUAUUUUUUGUUAAGAUUUAUACUCAAUAUGUUUCACAACAAAAACCACCCCGAGUCAAACAAGAAAAUACAUAGGAAACUAUGGCAUUGUUUUUUCACCCUCUGUUUGGGACUUUUUAUCGCCAUUUCCCUCAAUCCGUUUUCAUUGAAAUAUAACUCUAUUGUAUAUAAAUACAACAUGCACCAGAAUUGUAGUUAUUUGUUAUUUCCUGUAACCUGGGAAAGGUUUAAAACUUUGGUGAAGUUUUUACUACAAUAAUUUUAUUUAUCUAUACCGUUACCGUUCAAAUAAAAUAUUGUUUGGAAUAUGCAAGAAACGAAAGAAGAAAAUAAAGAAAACCAACGAAAGCAUGCAGUACAGAUUAUGGGAGGUAUAGAGUGUUCCUGAAUUUUAUCUUUGGUUCCAAUGCUUUAUGAAUAAAUAUGAAUAGGGCAAUCUGAUGGGAUAAUGCACGUAUCCAUAUAAUAAAACACUUCCCAAUGCAAAGAAAAAAGAAAAGAAGACAAGAUGGGUCUUUAUCUUUGUCUUUCUAUUUUAGACGAAUAAAAUAUAACAUUUUCCGAUAAAAGAUUUUUUCUGUUCUUCUUCCCUCUAAAAUGUUAAGUGUACUUUGCGAGAAUCACAGACAGCUUGAAGUCUACAGUAACCCCUGCAGAGAGAAAAACAAUUCCUUAUUGACACCCAUGGUGUUAAUACCCCCUACGAGC
rnacentral:lncRNA from 1 species